rnacentral:tRNA from 1 species
UCCCUGGUGGCUCAGAUGGUAAAGUGUCUGCCUGCAACACGGGGGACCCAGGUUCGAUUCCUGGGUCGGGAA